rnacentral:rRNA from 1 species
CCUACGGGAGGCAGCAGUGGGGAAUAUUGCACAAUGGGGGAAACCCUGAUGCAGCGACGCCGCGUGAGGGAUGAAGGACGUCGGGAUGUAAAGCUCUAUCAGUAGGGAAGAAGAUGACGGUACCUGUAUAAGAAGCCCCGGCCAACUACGGCCCAGCAGCCGCGGCAACACGGAGGGGGCAAGCGUUAUCCGGAUUUACUGGGUGUAAAGGGAGCGUAGAUGGCGAUGCAAGCCAGAUGUGAAAGCCCCGGGCUCAACCGCGGGACUGCAUUUGAAACUGUGUGGCUGGAGUGUCGGAGAGGCAGGCGGAAUUCCUAGUGUAGCGGUGAAAUGCGUAGAUAUUAGGAGGAACACCAGUUGCGAAGGCAGCUAUCUGGCACAUAACUGACGCUGAGGUGCGAAAGCGUGGGUAGCAAACAGGAUUAGAUACCCGGGUAGUC